UACGUAGGGUGCGAGCGUUAAUCGGAAUUACUGGGCGUAAAGGGUGCGCAGGCGGUUAUAUAAGACAGAUGUGAAAUCCCCGGGCUCAACCUGGGAACUGCGUUUGUGACUGUAUGACUAGAGUACGGUAGAGAGGGGUGGAAUUCCUGGUGUAGCAGUGAAAUGCGUAGAUAUCAGGAGGAACAUCGAUGGCGAAGGCAGCCCCUUGGACCUGUACUGACGCUCAUGCACGAAAGCGUGGGAUCAAACAGG
rnacentral:rRNA from 1 species